rnacentral:lncRNA from 1 species
AGUAAACAGAAAGAUUUCAUAUAUUUAAUCAACUCGGUUGCAUUACAUGGAACACAAUCUGAAAAAGAUAUUACAUAAUCUCCUAUAUAUUAACCAUGAAAAAGAAGGUGAAAUGUAAAACUAUCUUGUAGUAGCCCCAUUCUCGAUCUUUCUAUCAACAACCUAGCCAUGCAUAAUCUUCGUCUUCAUCAGCCUUCAUGCUACUUAGCCCACCAAAACGCCAUAUAUUUAGGUACAGAGGGAGUAGAUGACAAGCUUCUCUAUGAACUUCUCUGGACGCCUUCUUUGACAUUGCUAUUGGAUGAACCACCACCACCCUGCACAUCAUUCAGUACUAGAACUGACUGGCAAAGCGCCACUGCAAUAGAUUAAAUAAACAGAAUGAAAAUUCAACAUGUGGAGAUGGAAGCCGCAUGCAAAACUUAAAUAUUCUAGGAUUAAUCAUUUAUUGAAGGAAUGCUCAAUCAGUUCAGUGUACUGUAAAUGACCAAUAUAAAUUCUUGUUGUUCCUUAUUCCUAGCAGAGGGUCGAUUUAAUUGUAACAAGAAUGUAUAACUGCGAAGUAGGCAUGCUAGUCUGUUAGGGACUCUUAAAGUUUGUCCCCUCAAUCUUUUUCUUUUCUUUUGCCAUAUGUCACAAACCAAACAUACAUUAGGACCAUAUAUAUCAAACAUAUAGACAUGCAUGUUGUCAUCAACAUGGUUCCCUCUUGGUACGAAAAAAGGAAGUCUCAUCCUAAGAUCAAAGAUUAGCCACGUUAAGACAUCUAGAUUAUAGCAUACAGAAAAAUAGUAAAUUGUAUACUGCAAGUGGGUAAUUGAAACUUUAAGAUAGCCACACACAUAUACUGUUAUUUUGUUGUCCAGCCAAUUAAAUAAAGAGUAACUUGAAGUAACCUCACAAAAAGAAAACUUGAACUAAGAUAAUGAAAACUUAUUGUGCCAUAUAACUUACAUUCAGGUGUGAAUUUCGUUCCACAAAGCUUCUACAGACCAACAAAAAUCCCUUCGACAACAUCCUUUAUGGGUAAUUGGGAAUAUAGUUCGUGGAGAUAAUUUUAACAAACUUGGUUUAUGUGUAUUUUGUCACCAGUUCCUCAAGGCAAGUCUAAAGCAACCCACAUU